GCAGAGUUGGCGCGCCAGGGCGUGGAAGCCGCCGGAGGAUCCCGCCUGUCGCAGCGGGGACGCGUGUGGGCCCCUGCUCCCAGGCCACUUCGCGCGCGCGCCCCCCACAUCCUCCUCGGGACACUUGUCCCUGGAUCCUCUACCCCUGGCCGGCCCGAGGCCGCCUUCUCGGGAAGCCCCACCAGCCCCCAAGGGUGUUUUCCCUUGGCUACCUGCGCUGCGAGGAGAGAAGGGAAUUCAGAGAAGGGGUACAAGGGGGGCGUCCCUGGGAGGGGGCGCGACUGGAGGAGACAGAACGGGGAGCGGGUGCCAAAGCGCGGGCCUUUGCUCCGCCUGGGCGCAGUGGGAGCACCAACUGGCAGAGUUGGAAACUUUUCCUCCACGUGGCACCACAGUGCGUGGACGAGCGACCCCGCGCCCGGAUGACCCCUGGGAUUCCCGCCUCGUCUUCCAGCGGGGGACCUAGGGACGCACGGGCGGCUUCAGAUCCGGGAGCGCGAGGCCUAACAGCCGGGGGCCGAACUUGAACCUCGGAGGCGGCCGCGGGCGAGGGGCGGGGCCGAAGGGGCCGGGACCGCCGCCCCAGCUCGAGGACCCGUUAGACCGGCAAACCGCAGUCCCUGCCCCGCGGGCUUCCUUUACUUUUUGGGAGUGGGGGGCGGUUUCCCUGCUUUUUCCACCACAGCCCCUCCUCCCGCCGCAAUGUGGCUGAUGCUCAUAAAAAGUUGUAUUAAAGAGCUGACUGCAGCCGAGAAUCGAUCAACAAAAGCGACCAGCCUCUCUGGGUCACACUCCUUCAGCUUCCCCGUUUCUGAAUCCCAGGUCUAUCCACGGCCUUCUCAACAGAUGACUUCAAGUUGAUUUCGUGCUUUAUUUCUUAAGAAUAGUGACUAACCUAAGGGAUCUGAUUCAAUUUAUUAGGAACACAGUGCCACCUUCCAAAAUUACUUACCUAAGAGGACUGAGCCUGCUGUCCCUGGAGCAGUUAGCUAAAACAGUGCCUCAGUACGGAGCGUACCUGUGUUAACUUCUAGAGUGCUGUUUCCGGCAGCUGCUGAAAUCCACGCUGAGGUUAUCAAGCUCAUCCUACAAAAUAAAGUGUCUCUGAUGAAUGACACAUUGAUCAACCCAUAUUCUUCAGACUCUACCAUGUGAAGCCAAUGAAAGAUGCCUGCUGGUGACCAAAUGAUGUUCAUGUAAAAUGGCCAUUCUGGCAAAUUUAAUAAGCUUUAGAUUUAUUUUAAAAACCAACCAGUAUUUCUAUCCCUUCUCAAGGCAAUGUUUUCUAUUUGAGGUUUCACUUGACAUGACCAGGUAGGAAAAUUGAUGAAUAGUCAUAAGAAGAAACUUU
rnacentral:lncRNA from 1 species